CAAGGCUUAAGCAUGAUGGUCCUGGUCUUCUGUCAAUGUCAAUUGCUGAUCGUGACACUUUUGGUUCUCAUUUUAUUGUUAGCUUUAAGGCUAAUCAUCAUCUUGAUAGGAAGUAUGUAGUCUUUGGGAAGCUUGUGCAAGGAGAUGAAGUGCUGAAAAAGAUUGAAAGUGUAGGUGAUGAAGAAGGGAGGCCAUUGGUAACUGUAAAAAUAAUCAAUUGUGGUGAAUUUGAGGGUGUGGACAAGAAGAAAGUACAUAAACUGAAAACUGGAAAGGAUGCUUUAUCUGAUUCUGAUAGUCAUGAAGCACGUAAGAAGGGAAGGCACAAGAAAUUUUCAAGAGAUAGAAAGAAGAGGAGAAAAAGAUAUGAUUCGUCUGAGUCAGAGAGUUCAUCUGAUCCAGAUAUGGGAUCAUCUGAGUCUGAUAGUGAUUCUGACUCGUAUAUAUCCUCCUCUUCUGAGAUUAGUUCCUCAAGUGAUGACAGGCGCAAGAAAAGAAAAAGAUCUUCUAAAAGAGACAAGUAUAGACG
rnacentral:misc_RNA from 1 species